GGUCCGCCCAUCCGUCCUUCACUCUCCUCUCCUCUCCUCACCUCCAUAUCUCCAUGGCCAUGGAGCUUCUUCAGCUUCCUCCUUCUUUCAUAUAUAUACCAGGACCACCAGCUAGCUGGCUGUCUACAAAACAAGCAGGAAAGCUGCUAAGGCUAGCUGCAUAUAUACGAGGAAACCAGCGCAAGAUCCUUGCAUACUACUCCCACACCACACAUAGAUAGGACUAGGACUAGGAGUCGUCCGAUCCAUCCUGGAGCACUCUAUAUAUACACACACACCUAGGGUUUAAUUUGCUUGCUUUAUUAUCUGCUGCUUCUUCAUUCAUUCCCCACUCCCCAGUGGUCGUCGAUCUGAUUUGCCUGCUUUAUUUCUUCUUCUUCUUCACACCGAGCUAGCUAGCUAUCUUGCUUUAAUUUGCCUAGAACGAAUAGAUCCACCGUACUAGCUUCUUGCUCGAUCUGCAGCUUCUCGCUUGUGAGCCAAGAGCCCGGCCAGCAGUGUCGGCCGUGCAGUGGCACUCUCUCCAUCAACAAUCAACCCUCUCUCCGUCGACAUGUGGAAAGGUAGGUAGAGAUAGAUGGUGUGUGUAAUCCGGUUCCUUGGUUCUUGUGUUUCCGAUCUCCUCUAAUUAAUCGAUCUCUCUACCUGGCCAGCUCACUUCACCCAUGCUUGCAUCUAGCUGUUCCAAUCUGAUGCAUGAUAUAGAUGAUGCUUGCGGCCUCUUCUUCUUGAUUCAUAGGCUCAUCAUCUAUGCCUCUGUCAUGCACACACUCGUGUCUUUCUUCUUGAUGGAUACACGUACGGGGGGUUGGGUUGUUCACAUAUAUAGUAGUAUAGCUAGUUUAUUAGAUGCAGGUAUACAGAUCAUGAGGAAGCAAGAAAUUAUGCAAAACAGUCGGUGCUUGCAGGUGCAGCACCAUCAAGAUUCACAUCCCCAGCUCGAUCUGUGCAUGAUGAGAUGAGAAUCUUGAUGAUGCUGCAUCAGCAAACACUCACUUACAUCGAUCUCACCCCUGGACAAGCUGGACAGUGAAACCGGACUGAGCAAUCGAGUACUACUAAAAACUUGUCCUCAGCUCUUUAUGUUUUACUUUCAAUUACCUUGCUUAUAUUAAUUUUCUUUCACUUAAUUUAGUUAAUUACUGCUCUCUCUCUCUCUCUCUGUCUCUCUCUCUCUCUCUCUGGUUUUUUCAUCUUGCAAAAAAAAUGCAGAAAUUAAUAUGUAUAUGUGUACCUCAUGAUUAUUAAGGCCGCUGCACCAUGAUUUUAUGGUAUAUUAUUAUCAGCUUAAAACAGGCUUUCCCUUUUGAUUAUAUUUCAAUAAUUCGUUUAGCAUCAUUAGUUUCUGCAUUUGCCGAUGAUCUCGAGGUUCUGUUUGCAAGAAGUGGCUGCACUGCAGCCCUGCAGCUAUAUAUACACAGGUUCAAGUUACUAAUUUUGUGCUUCUACAAUAAUCCUAUCAGUCCGCAGCUUUCACUUUUAAUUUAGUUUGUUGGCUCUUUCUGUUGUGUUGCACUUCCUUAUAUUUUGAUAUUAAUUAAUAGCCAUAUAGUAUGUGCAGUAUGCAUGCUAGCUCAAUAUAUAUAUCGACCCCAAGCAAACAUAGUCAUUACUAUUAAUUGAUUAAUGUUUGUAUAGGUAAUUAAAGAGUAGUGGCAUCGAUCAUAUCCAUAUAUAUACUUUAUUUCAAAUAAAUAAACCCAAUAUAAUUAAUGUGCAUGCCAACAACGUUAACGUACUCCCGUCCGCAUCACCAUCGUCUGAUUGAGGUAGAGUAUAUAUGCUCAUCUAUCGAUCUUCAUAAUAUUCCCAGUCUCAUCAUUAGUUGAGAUGUCGUGUCAUCAAACUCUUGCUAAUUAACGACUGCAUAUUCUGUUUAACAGCGGCUACUAGCUCCCCGCUGUUGCUGCUGCAAUAUAUGCUUUCCCAGCCCAGGAAUGAAGCUGCAUGCGCAAGGGGCAUACAACACAUGCAUGUGAUAAUAAUGAUAUAAACACAUGAGAAAGAUCGUCAGAACAGUCGACGCCGAAAGGAACCGUGCUAAUUCUCCUCCGAUCGACGACGAUUGAUCUCUCCACCAUGCAGGGCGGCAGGAUCCGCGUCCAACCCGGCCGCACCGUCGUGAAGCUAGCAGAGAAGAUCGCCAAGGACUGGCGGCGGCUCCACACCCGCCCCGGCGAGCAGCUGCUCGUGCUCGAGGGCGAGGACCUCGUCCACGACGGCGCCGUCAUCACCUGAGAGGCGUCGAUCCAUCCAUUUCUGCCAGUACCUGAAGCCAGCAAGAGUGAACUGGACAAUUUAGGUGGCUGUCCCAAAUCAGCAGGGCCCAUGCAUGGACCUAAACAAGACGCUCUGCCACAAUGGUGCAUACACACAUGUAUCAGAAAUAAACCAUGGACAGUGAACUUGGCCAUGCACAUAAAUGCCUGUCUCCAUCAUGGACUGAGAAGCACUUGAGCUCCAAAUCUUGCAGUGCAUCAAAGAGAGAUCCAGUACGUAGUUAGAGAAGAGAAGACUGGCGAAUUAGCUAGCAUAAUCAGGUGAUUAGAAAAGAACGGAAAUGACGGCUGGAUUAGCUAGCACAGGAGCAACAGCGUGGAACUGCUACCUGAGCCUGCAGGGCGGCUGGCCUCUCUGCCUGUCGCGCCGUCGGGUUUCCGCCGGCCCUUCAGCGAGCUCUCCGUCUCCGAACGGCGGCGCGUACUGGCUGGAAGGCAUCGACGGUGGGCAUCAGGAGCAGGACGACGACGAUACCACUGCUCGCCGCUGAACCUGGAGCCUGGCAUGUCCAUCGGAACCCAGCAUGCGUGCGUGCCACUUACAACAAGUGUUCAGAAAUUUUUAGAGCUAGUGGCACUCCAUGGGGGGUGAAACAUGAAAGCAAGCAUGACAUUAUAACCGUCAUGAAUCACAAAUCUCUAUCAUUG